AGGGUAAGGUGCAUGAUGAGAGAAAAAACCAUGUAGGUCUGGAUUCAUGCAAGCUUGGAACAGGACAGGUUCUGUAAUAGAAGCAUGUGCUUACGCAGAAUCGGGACAGGCAUAAAUUAGGAGGAUAGGAAGCAACUGUCAUUGUCUAUCCCAUAUUGCAAUGUAUUGGUUUGAUACAAACCAUGAGAAUAGGGAAACCUGAAUUUAUUGCUGCCCACUGGAACCUUCAAUAUUUCGUCUAUACCUCUCACUGCCUGCUUGUUAUGAUCUGGAUCCUCUU
rnacentral:misc_RNA from 1 species